GAUGAACGCUGGCGGCGUGCCUAAUACAUGCAAGUCGAGCGAACAGACGAGGAGCUUGCUCCUCUGACGUUAGCGGCGGACGGGUGAGUAACACGUGGAUAACCUACCUAUAAGACUGGGAUAACUUCGGGAAACCGGAGCUAAUACCGGAUAAUAUAUUGAACCGCAUGGUUCAAUAGUGAAAGACGGUUUUGCUGUCACUUAUAGAUGGAUCCGCGCCGCAUUAGCUAGUUGGUAAGGUAACGGCUUACCAAGGCAACGAUGCGUAGCCGACCUGAGAGGGUGAUCGGCCACACUGGAACUGAGACACGGUCCAGACUCCUACUGGAGGCAGCAGUAGGGAAUCUUCCGCAAUGGGCGAAAGCCUGACGGAGCAACGCCGCGUGAGUGAUGAAGGUCUUCGGAUCGUAAAACUCUGUUAUUAGGGAAGAACAAAUGUGUAAGUAACUAUGCACGUCUUGACGGUACCUAAUCAGAAAGCCACGGCUAACUACGUG
rnacentral:rRNA from 1 species